rnacentral:tRNA from 2 species
GGUCCUGUAGUUCAAUGGAUAGAACAAGACACUCCUAACGUCUAAAUCCAGGUUCGAUUCUUGGCGGGGCCA